AGUGAACGCUGGCGGUAGGCCUAACACAUGCAAGUCGAACGGCAGCACAGUAAGAGCUUGCUCUUACGGGUGGCGAGUGGCGGACGGGUGAGGAAUACAUCGGCAUCUACUUUUUCGUGGGGGAUAACGUAGGGAAACUUACGCUAAUACCGCAUACGACCUACGGGUGAAAGCAGGGGAUCUUCGGACCUUGCGCGAUUGAAUGAGCCGAUGUCGAAUUAGCUAGUUGGCGGGGUAAAGGCCCACCAAGGCGACGAUCCGUAGCUGGUCUGAGAGGAUGAUCAGCCAAACUAGGACUAAGACACGGUCCAGACUCCUACGGGAGGCAGGAGUGGGGAAUAUUGGAGAAUGGGCGCAAGCCUGAUCCAGCCAUACCGCGUGAGUGAAGAAGGCCUUCGGGUUGUAAAGCCCUUUUUUUGGGAAAGAAAAGCGGCAGGUUAAUACCCCGCUGUUCUGACGGUACCCAAAGAAUAAGCACCGGCUAACUUCGUG
rnacentral:rRNA from 1 species